AGAAUGCUUGGGCUCGACACUGCCGCUUUCCACCUGCAGAGGGAGGAGGAAGAGAGUCUGGUUUACUAUGUAUGAAAAGCAGCGAACCCCCCCCCCCCGAAAGGAAAAUGCAAUCAAAUUCAACAGAACUCUGAAAGCUAGCCAACGCGUAGGAACUUUCCAACGGUUUAGUUUGAUUUCGCCAUAUCUCUAUAUCAUUGCAAACAAGAUGAAGUUCCACAAACUCCUAGACCACUGCCAUGUUUGCCUAAGAAUCCUUCUAGGAUUGACAUCUGCUUGGCCAUUGAAUGCUUGAUGAAAGUUAAGAAGAAAUAUGCUUUUAUAUUUAACUCUCUAUGUACCUCACUGAAGUCAACAAACACAUAAUUGAACUUCCCCCUGAUCUCCAGAACUGAUAAAGGAGAAAAAACUGAGGCACUGGAAAAGAGAAAACUAAG